rnacentral:rRNA from 1 species
UACGUAGGGGGCAAGCGUUAUCCGGAUUUACUGGGUGUAAAGGGAGCGUAGACGGCUGCGCAAGUCUGAAGUGAAAGCCCGGGGCUCAACCCCGGGACUGCUUUGGAAACUGUGUAGCUAGAGUGCUGGAGAGGCAAGCGGAAUUCCUAGUGUAGCGGUGAAAUGCGUAGAUAUCAGGAGGAAUACCGUUAGCGAAGGCGGCAAUCUGGCUGGAAACUGACGCUGAGGUGCGAAAGCGUGGGUAGCAAACAGG